rnacentral:misc_RNA from 1 species
UACGGAGGGUGCUAGCGUUGCUCGGAAUUACUGGGCGUAAAGCGCGUGUAGGCGGCCAGGUAAGUUAGAUGUGAAAGCCCUCGGCUCAACCGGGGAAUUGCAUCUAAUACUGCUUGGCUUGAGUACGGGAGAGGGAGGCGGAAUUCCCAGUGUAGAGGUGAAAUUCGUAGAGAUUGGGAGGAACACCAGUGGCGAAAGCGGCCUCCUGGACCAAUACUGACGCUGAGACGCGAAAGCGUGGGGAGCAAACAGG